rnacentral:rRNA from 1 species
GAUGAACGCUGGCGGCGUGCCUAAUACAUGCAAGUCGAGCGAACGGACGAGAAGCUUGCUUCUCUGAUGUUAUCGGCGGACGGGUGAGUAACACGUGGAUAACCUACCUAUAAGACUGGGAUAACUUCGGGAAACCGGAGCUAAUACCGGAUAAUAUUUUGAACCGCAUGGUUCAAAAGUGAAAGACGGUCUUGCUGUCACUUAUAGAUGGAUCCGCGCUGCAUUAGCUAGUUGGUAAGGUAACGGCUUACCAAGGCAACGAUGCAUAGCCGACCUGAGAGGGUGAUCGGCCAAACUGGAACUGAGACACGGUCCAGACUCCUACGGGAGGCAGCAGUAGGGAAUCUUCCGCAAUGGGCGAAAGCCUGACGGAGCAACGCCGCGUGAGUGAUGAAGGGCUUCGGAUCGUAAAACUCUGUUAUUAGGGAAGAACAUAUGUGUAAGUAACUGUGCACAUCUUGACGGUACCUAAUCAGAAAGCCACGGCUAACUACGUG